UUGAUUCAGAAUGCAGGGCAUUUAACCUGCAGUGGAGCAGUGGACAAACGAUUAUUAUUUUAUUUUUUUUUUUUUUUGUUCAAUGCAAAGAAAAGGCUGUCUGCCUCAUCUGUCAAGAGGCGGUGGCGGUAUUCAAAGAAUACAAUCUGCGGAGACACUAUGAAUCCCGUCAUAAAGACAAGUAUGAUAGCUUGCAAGGCCAAAUGCGAGCAGACAAACCCUCAAAGCUGAAAAAUGGACUGUUAGCUCAGCAGAAUACAUUUGUACGCCAAGCUCAGCUGAACCAGUCAUCUGCUCGGGCCAGCUUUCGGGUUGCUCAACUGAUAGCAAGCAGCGGUAAACCUUUCACUGAUGGAGAGUUUGUCAAGAAAUGCAUGAAGGCUGUCGCGGAGGAGGUGUGUCUCGAGAAGAAAGAUGUCUUUAAUGCCGCACUCUUGCAAUCGUCACACUUUUUCUGUUACAAACUGACCCCGGCCCUCCAUCAGAGAUGGGAAAAGUUUGGGGACCUCUGAUGUAAAGCAACAAAGGAAAGAGAGAAUCAAUCCAACUGGGACACCCCCCGCUCCUCCCAGACACCGACCCCGGGACGCCAGGCAUGGCCCCAGCCGCCGGGGCCCACCAGACCCCAAGGAGGCCCAUCGGCCAGCAAGGACCCGGCCUCCAGCAGAAGGAGGAGGAGGAGGCUGAUGGGGGAGCCGGGUGAAGGGAGGAGGGCGUGGCAGACGAGGGGAAAGAAGGGGUCAUAUGUUUCACAUUUUAAAGUUGUUGCAUUCCUAAUAAAGCCUA